AGAAUCAACGCUGGCGGCGUGCCUAACACAUGCAAGUCGAACGAGAAAGUGGAGCAAUCCACGAGUAAAGUGGCGCACGGGUGAGUAACACGUGACUAACCUACCCUUGAGUGGGGGAUAACCUAGGGAAACCUGGGCUAAUACCGCAUGAUACCUACGGGUCAAAGGAGCAAUUCGCUUAAGCGAGGGGGUCGCGGCCGAUUAGUUAGUUGGCGGGGUAAUGGCCCACCAAGACGAUGAUCGGUAUCCGGCCUGAGAGGGCGCACGGACACACUGGAACUGAAACACGGUCCAGACUCCUACGGGAGGCAGCAGUGGGGAAUUUGCGCAAUGGGGGAAACCCUGACGCAGCAACGCCGCGUGGAGGAUGAAGUCCCUUGGGAUGUAAACUCCUUUCGAUCGGGACGAUUAUGACGGUACCGGAAGAAGAAGCCCCGGCUAACUUCGUGCCAGCAGCCGC
rnacentral:rRNA from 1 species